rnacentral:rRNA from 1 species
UAAACGCGUGGAACGGAACCUCGCCUACAAAGGGAGGGGGACAACAGUGGAACGACUGCUAAUACCGCAUAAGCCCACAGCUCGGCAUCGAGCAGAGGGAAAAGGAGUGAUCCGCUUUGAGAUGGCCUCGCGUCCGAUUAGCUAGUUGGUGAGGUAAUGGCCCACCAAGGCGACGAUCGGUAGCCGGACUGAGAGGUUGAACGGCCACAUUGGGACUGAGACACGGCCCAG